UACGUAGGGGGCAAGCGUUGUCCGGAUUCACUGGGCGUAAAGCGCGCGCAGGCGGUGAUGUAAGUCUGAGGUGAAGACCCGAAGCUCAACUUCGGGACUGCCUUGGAUACUGCGUCACUUGAGGAUAGGAGAGGCAAGGGGAAUUCCACGUGUAGCGGUGAAAUGCGUAGAGAUCGGGAGGAAGGCCGGUGGCGAAGGCGGCGCUCUGGAACAUUUCUGACGCUGAGGCUCGAAAGCGUGGGGAGCAAACAGGAUUAGAUACCCCUGUAGU
rnacentral:rRNA from 1 species